AAGUGCAGAUGAGGAUCAGAGC
rnacentral:miRNA from 1 species